rnacentral:rRNA from 1 species
UACGUAGGGCGCAAGCGUUGUUCGGAAUUAUUGGGCGUAAAGAGCUCGUAGGUGGCGUGUCGCGUCUGCCGUGAAAGCCCAUGGCUUAACUGUGGGUCUGCGGUGGAUACGGGCAGGCUGGAGGCUGGUAGGGGCAAGCGGAAUUCCUGGUGUAGCGGUGAAAUGCGCAGAUAUCAGGAGGAACACCAGUGGCGAAGGCGGCUUGCUGGGCCGGUUCUGACGCUGAGGAGCGAAAGCGUGGGGAGCGAACAGG